UACGAAGGGUGCAAGCGUUACUACGGAAUUACUGGGCGUGAAAGCGUGCGUAGGUGGUUUCGUUAAGUCUGUUGUGAAAGCCCCGGGCUCAACCUGGGAAUGGCAAUGGAUACUGGCAGGCUAGAGUGCGGUAGAGGUAGUGGAAUUCCCGGUGUAGCGGUGAAAUGCGUAGAGAUCGGGAGGAACACCAGUGGCGAAGGCGGCUACCUGGACCAGCACUGACACUGGAGGCACGAAAG
rnacentral:rRNA from 1 species